CCUACGGGUGGCAGCAGUGGGGAAUAUUGGGCAAUGGGCGAAAGCCUGAACCAGCCAAGCCGCGUGAAGGAUGACGGCCCUACGGUUGUUAAGCUUCUUUUGUCAGGGAGCAAUUUGGUCCACGCGUGGGCUUAACGAGAGUACCUGAAGGAAAAGCAUCCGCUAACUCCGUGCCAGCAGCCGCGGUAAUACGGAGGAGGCGAGCGUUAUCCGGAUUUAUUGGGGUUAAAGGGUUCGUAGGCGGAAUGUCAAGUCAGAGGGAAAAAUUCGGGGCGAAACCCCGUCGUGCCGUUGAAACUGAGUGUCUUGAGUGGGGGAGAAGGAUGCGGAAUGCGUGGUGUAGCGGUGAAAUGCAUAGAUAUCACGCAGAACGCCGAUGGCGAAGGCAGCCUACUGGCGACUAACUGACGCUGAAGCACGAAAGCGUGGGUAUCGAACAGGAUUAGAUACCCCAGUAGUC
rnacentral:rRNA from 1 species